rnacentral:rRNA from 1 species
UCCUACGGGACGCAGCAGUGAGGAAUAUUGGUCAAUGGGCGCGAGCCUGAACCAGCCAAGUAGCGUGAAGGAUGACUGCCCUACGGGUUGUAAACUUCUUUUGUAAAGGGGUAAAGGGAGGCACGUGUGCCUGUUUGUAUGUAUUUUAUGAAUAAGGAUCGGCUAACUCCGUGCCAGCAGCCGCGGUAAUACGGAGGAUCCGAGCGUUAUCCGGAUUUAUUGGGUGUAAAGGGAGCGUAGAUGG